rnacentral:lncRNA from 1 species
UCCCCCCUGCAGGUACCUCUGGGUCUGUGGAACCUGGCGCACGGUUCUUCCCCCAAAGCUGCCAGGACAGCCAGGCUGGGGGCAGUGCCAGACCGGCAGCAGCCGCGCAGUGGAGCAAUCAUUCUGGGAGGUGUCCAAAGCUGGCCCAAUUUCUCUGAGGCGGAGCAGAGGAGCCUGAAUGGGAGGUUCCCAUAAGGGACACAGAGGACCUGAUCCGCUAUUCCUCCGCCAGGAGGUCCCCCAGGGCUACACUGGUAAGGUCUGAGCUGGGGUGAACACCGCUGUGGCGAUCUGGGCCAUUCUGGGCAUCCGGACCAGCUUCUCCUAGCUGCUUCCUCGGUUAGUCUGUCCGGCCCCAAGACACCUGUCACUGCUCCCGUGGUAUGCUCAAACUGGGGGCUGGAAGGCGGGCUACGGCCUACCUCCGGCCGCGCUCUGGAGCGCAGCUUAGGGGCCGGCGCACCGGGGACCGCCCCCUAGGGCUGCU